rnacentral:rRNA from 1 species
UAGCUACAGGCUUAACACAUGCAAGUCGAGGGGAAACGAUAUUGGAAGCUUGCUUCCGAUAGGCGUCGACCGGCGCACGGGUGAGUAACGCGUAUCCAACCUGCCCAUCACUUGGGGAUAACCUUGCGAAAGUAAGACUAAUACCCAAUGACGUCUCUAGAAGACAUCUGAAAGAGAUUAAAGAUUCAUCGGUGAUGGAUGGGGAUGCGUCUGAUUAGCUUGUUGGCGGGGUAACGGCCCACCAAGGCAACGAUCAGUAGGGGUUCUGAGAGGAAGGUCCCCCACAUUGGAACUGAGACACGGUCCAAACUCCUACGGGAGGCAGCAGUGAGGAAUAUUGGUCAAUGGACGAGAGUCUGAACCAGCCAAGUAGCGUGCAGGAAGACGGCCCUAUGGGUUGUAAACUGCUUUUAUAAGGGAAUAAAGUUAGUCUCGUGAGACUUUUUGCAUGUACCUUAUGAAUAAGGACCGGCUAAUUCCGUGCCAGCAGCCGCGGUAAUACGGAAGGUCCGGGCGUUAUCUGGAUUUAUUGGGUUUAAAGGGAGCGUAGGCCCGGAGAUUAAGCGUGUUGUGAAAUGUAGACGCUCAACGUCUGCACUGCAGCGCGAACUGGUUUCCUUGAGUACGCACAAAGUGGGCGGAAUUCGUGGUGUAGCGGUGAAAUGCUUAGAUAUCACGAAGAACUCCGAUUGCGAAGGCAGCUCACUGGAGCGCAACUGACGCUGAAGCUCGAAAGUGCGGGUAUCGAACAGGAUUAGAUACCCUGGUAGUCCGCACGGUAAACGAUGGAUGCCCGCUGUUGGUCUGAAUAGGUCAGCGGCCAAGCGAAAGCAUUAAGCAUCCCACCUGGGGAGUACGCCGGCAACGGUGAAACUCAAAGGAAUUGACGGGGGCCCGCACAAGCGGAGGAACAUGUGGUUUAAUUCGAUGAUACGCGAGGAACCUUACCCGGGCUUGAAUUGCAGAGGAAGGAUUGGAGACAAUGACGCCCUUCGGGGCCUCUGUGAAGGUGCUGCAUGGUUGUCGUCAGCUCGUGCCGUGAGGUGUCGGCUUAAGUGCCAUAACGAGCGCAACCCCUCUCCUUAGUUGCCAUCAGGUCAAGCUGGGCACUCUGGGGACACUGCCACCGUAAGGUGUGAGGAAGGUGGGGAUGACGUCAA